rnacentral:lncRNA from 1 species
GCAGGGGUACGGCGGCUCGAGGGCGGACCGCCACGCGGCGCAGACGCAACGGAGGCUCUCGUAGUCUCUCAGAGUGAGAGGCGAGCCGUCGACGGCCACCGUGGCGGCGACGGACACGACGAGCUCGCUGUUGAGAUCGGCCCAGGACCACGUGGAGGCCGCCGGCAUCGUCAUGGCGUGCACAAGGGAAGGAUCUUGCCAAUUGGCAUCGUGUCCGCACGAUUAUAUGCCAGAGAGAAAUCGCACGUACCAGACCGGGUCUCAUCAACUUCUGGAACAACCAAUCGUGGACACGUUGACGCUUGAGAAAAACUCCUUAUUUCAAACCCUUUUGUUUUUGGAAAAAAAGAGUUUUAUUGAUUCUGUGUUGCUAAAUCUCAGUCGAACGAGAUUUAGUUAUGUCUCAGACUCUUAGUUGAUGCCAUAUUCCUAAAACCUUACAUUAAGAUCCGAGGAAAAUAAAAGUUUCUUUUCUUACAUUGUACUUCUUCCGUUUCUAAAUAUAUGGCUUUUUAAAAAUUCUACUAUGAACUACAUACGGA